ensembl:lncRNA
UCUAAACACGUAAAAUACCACGUCGUGUCAGGAACUGGUUCUUUCCAGCGAAGUGAUUAAAAGUCCCUUCAGAAUGAAAGUUUCCAUCCAAACACAAGAGGGCAUCAGAGCUGCAUUCGCAAUACUUCAAAAAUCAGUUUUAGCUGGAAAUCGAUUUUCUUCUGUGAAGAAAAUAAAAUAUAUUUAAAAGAACAGGCCGAUUCGAUCAAGUCGAUCUUCAAGCAGACCUAAACUUUCCAAAUCAUUUAUGUUUAGCUAUUGCAACAUUGUGCUAAAGGCCUAUUUGCUCAUUAUGAUUAACUAAUAUUUUGUCUGUAUUCGCAUAAACCCUGACCUCGCCUUUCUGUGAUAACCUUUCACAGCAAACCGCAACAUAGCGGCUUUAAUUACUUCUGCUCAAAUCACCUCUUUCUAAUUGGCAUUAAAUAUUAAAUUCCCUUUACUGUUGUAAUGCUGCAAAAAAUAGUUUACACAAAUGUGCAAUUGACACACAGCCGAAGAGGUGAGAAGUCAUAAAUACUGAUGUGCCAGAAGUGCUGUGCUGGUUUAAUUAGCCUUACUGAUUAAAAGAAAAACCUAAAACAUAAAUAGAUAUUUCUAUAUUAUAGAGAAUAUAUUAUAGAGAAUUGACUUGGAAAGGAAAUGCAAAAUAUUUGAUUAUUGUGUAUUAGCAUCAUUAAAAGUGGAAUAGAGACAGUGAGCAAUCCAGUGCCAGUUUUGUCUUAAUGAAUGGAGUGACUCAGCUGUGUAGAAGAGGCUCAUUAGCAGACUUCAGUCAGGGUCUUGUGCCUCAGGCCAUAGUCUCUCAUGUACAGCCUCCCCUCUGCUGGAUGAGCCACAUUUGGAUGUGCUGUAAAACCAGGGGAAGCUAUAGAAGAAGAUGUAUGGCCACUAAACCCCAAAUGCGUGAUGGUUAUGCUCCUUCAUGCAGCAUUUGUUCUUGGAGCAGCUGAAACCUGCCAUAUUUCAUACUGGCACAUGUGACGAGAUGUUUACUGCAAGCAAACUCAAGCAAAGGUCACUUUCUUCCCCUUUACUGCCAAGAGCUGUCACACGCCACAUUCCUGCGCAAACAUCCCAUGCAGAAAAAAAAAAAAAAUACAGCACAGCUCGGUGUCCAGUAGACAACGCCUGUGGAUUGUUUCUAUUUAUUAUGCAAAUGUCAAAACAUAUCACUAAUUGGUUUUAUGCAUGAGUGGCAUCUUUGAAGCAAAUGUCUGGCUGCUGGUUGACACGCACAUAUUUAACAUAAUGGGUUUUCCUAUUGCCGUCUGUCUGUGCAAUCGGUAUAUUGGAUGGAGACUAAAUACACAGGACAUUCAUUUUAACAAGAAGUUAUAUUGUGACUGGCUUGCUAUGGUAUAUGGUAGGCUAUAGGUUAUACUUUGUAUGAGGGAUGAUACCAAUAGUUUUAUACUGUUUUACAGGCAACAUAACAUUAUGAUUGAACCUUAAUUGACAACAUCAGUUCAUAUAUCAAUCCUUAUGAAUAGAGAAGCAUUAAAUGAUGAAUAUCACUUAAAGGGCUUGUUAAACUGUAAUUCAUGGUAACAAAAAAUAACGCUUGUAGUAGUGAGUGAAAUAUACAACGUAUGCAUGUAUGUUAAAUAUUGAUAAUAAAAUCAGCAAACGUGUCA